GUUGAAACACCGGUUCUCAUACAAUUACCGAAGGUAAGCAAUGUCGAAGCUGGUCAGUACCUAGAUGGGUGACCACUUGGGAAUACCAGGUGUUGUAA